UGCGUAGGGGGCUAGCGUUAUCCGGAAUUACUGGGCGUAAAGGGUGCGUAGGUGGUUUCUUAAGUCAGAGGUGAAAGGCUACGGCUCAACCGUAGUAAGCCUUUGAAACUGGGAAACUUGAGUGCAGGAGAGGAGAGUUGAAUUCCUAGUGUAGCGGUGAAAUGCGUAGAUAUUAGGAGGAACACCAGUUGCGAAGGCGGCUCUCUGGACUGUAACUGACACUGAGGCACGAAAGCGUGGGGAGCAAACAGGAUUAGAUACCCCGGUAGUCCCUGAGCGGG
rnacentral:rRNA from 1 species